rnacentral:other from 1 species
AUAACCCUGCUGUGUACGUGAUGCCGUUUUGCGUUUUGAGCCAACACUUAUACAAACGGGGGCUGUCUCUUCAGAGAGGAAUGCGAUAGGCUUCGGCCAAGGCAAACCGCUGAGCAAGCUCCCACCUGCGAAAGCAGGUUCAAAACUCAUCGGCACACGGCAUGGCGGGGCUUUG